rnacentral:piRNA from 1 species
UGCAAAUNUCGCCCUAAGCUACAAAACAC